rnacentral:tRNA from 1 species
AGGAACUUAGGACUACACCAAACCAGAGACCUUCAAAGUCUCCAAUAAGAGUACCCACUCUCUUAGUACCUG